GGAAUUUGAUUGAAGUGAUGAACACGCAGACGACUUGCCAUGAUAGUAUCGGUCACAUAUUCCCUCAACCUGACAGAAAGUUAUUUAACUCGAUGUACCCUACCAAAUAGCUGAUCUCAUGAGACAUUCUCUAUCAUUACAUUGUUUUUUUCAAUAUUUACGUCAGUAGUAACACUCUCAAUCAUAUUUUGAGAGGUUU
rnacentral:lncRNA from 1 species